AUAAACUUGAGGUAAUUGGGCCUGACCCAUUACACAGGGGUGAAAGCGUAAUUACACGGGGAGAAUCCCAAACCCUAAACGGGAUUCUAACAUUUAUAGAUUAGAGGCUUCCACAAUCUUAGGGAUAAGCCCUGCCCAGGCGUGGCGGAUAAGCCUCCUUCCCUGGUUAUUCUCUAGCAGACCUUCUAACAUACUACAGAUCGGAUAACUAAGUUGGAUCUGUUAUUUAUCAAGCAAAUCUGCUCUCCUCUAUCCACUAGACCUUCCCGCACUGAUAUUUGCAC
rnacentral:lncRNA from 7 species